rnacentral:lncRNA from 1 species
GACAAUGCAUUGGUGCCUCCAGGAGCAACACCGGCAAGCGACCCGCAGAAGGGAUGCAAACUGCACCUAUAAAGCGCCCGGGCGCGCACCUUCACUAGAAUAGAGCGCAGAGCAAUUGGCCUCACGCCCAGCCCCCCUCAGCCCUUCACCUCGUGAACGUAUAGGACAUGGCGCGGGGCGGGGUGACUUCGGGAUGCCCUGGGCUCCCCAGAUCUUCCCAGACAGCCUGAUAAAGCUCCUCAAGGCGUCGUGGCCCAGGCGCCGGAAUCCAAAUCAGAACCGCCAGGCCGCGUCCGCCCGGUGAGACGUGUCCACACCACUCCUUCCUGCAACAGUCUGAGAAACCGGUGACGUUCUGCGAUCGGCACCGCCAGGGCCCAAUCCAAAGGAAGAGUCUACGAAGACCAACCAAUCACAAUACAAGAGGGUGGGGAGCUCCGCCCAGUGCUGCGAUUCAAAGGCAGUGCGGCGCGUCCGGGUUCUACCUGGUUCUUCCGCAGUCCGAGACGCCUUGCACGGUAAAACAUCGAGGCUUCUUGAGUGAGCCACAGGGCUCAAGGUUCUGACGGACUAGGGGGAAAGAGGUCUUCUAGCCACUGCCCUAACUCCUCAAGGAUGUCCCCAUAGGUCAGACGCUCCCUAUCUGAUGGAAUGCCUAACAGGGCCUACUCCAGUAGGAGCCCUGGGUGGGAUACCUGCAUUUCCUCUGCUGAGCCCUGACUCUAUUUAUUCUUAGCGACCUCCGUGUAUGCGAGACCCUGAGUUCUGGAAAUCUGAAUGAGAACUUACGAAUUUCCUUCUCCCAUCUCGCUUUUAUUGUGUUUAAAGAAAUUUUUUUCCCUUGGUAGAAGAAAGCCAUAAAGUAAUACAACCUUAUAGCUCUUGCUGAAAAAGGCAGACUGGUCCAACAUUAGUUGUAAGGUCCGAGGUGGUGGCUGGGGCUACGUGUGUUUUCUUAGGAAAAUGAAGGAGGCACUAUAAAGAAACUUUUUUUUUCUCUCUUUUUUUUUUUAAUUAGGUAUUUACUCGUUUACAUUUCCAAUGCUAUCCCAAAAGUCCCCCAUACCCACCCACUCCCCCUUUUUGGCCCUGGCGUUCCCCUGUACUGGGGCAUAUAAAGUUUAUAUGUUUAUACUUUAUAAUCUAAAGGGACAUUUCACUUUGGAGUUUUGUAUGCAACAGUAUCAGGCAAGGUAAAGGUAAUUCCAGCAUCUUGAAAGACCAUAAAACUACUUUUGAUGAAGCAGCCAUUAACUGCUGCAUCUUCUGCUGCACCAACAGUAGGAAGCUAAAGGUAUUGCCCAGCCAAACAUAAUAGGGUGUGCUGUAAACCAUCGGAAUGUCUAGAUGUGUUUGUAAACAUUUUAAACACUGGAAGUCAUCCUUCCUAGAGUGGUCCAUUUUAUGCUUCCAUCAGCAGAGGAUGAAAGGUGGUCAGUAAGAUGUUUUAAGAGGCACAUGUUCAUUGUCUUAAAUAUUGAUGAUCUGUGAACUAAAAGUAAAAUGUGACCAUUUGAGGAUUGUCUGCUGGAAUGGCACCCUAGGGAAUGCUAUGAUAAAAAGAAAGGAGAGAGAGAGAAGC